GAUGAACGCUGGCGGCGUGCCUAAUACAUGCAAGUCGAGCGAACAGACGAGGCGCUUGCUCCUUUGACGUUUGCGGCGGACGGGUGAGUAACACGUAUGUAACCUACCUAUAUGACUGGGAUAACUUCGGGAAACCGGAGCUAAUACCGGAUAAUAUUUCGAACCGCAUGGUUCGAUAGUGAAAGAUGGCUUUGCUAUCACUUAUAGAUGGACCUGCGCCGUAUUAGCUAGUUGGUAAGGUAACGGCUUACCAAGGCAACGAUACGUAGCCGACCUGAGAGGGUGAUCGGCCACACUGGAACUGAGACACGGACCAGACGCCUACGGGAGGCAGCAGUAGGGAAUCGUCCGCAAUGGGCGAAAGCCUGACGGAGCAACGCCGCGUGAGUGAUGAAGGUGUUCGGAUCGUAAAACUCUGUUAUUAGGGAAGAACAAACGUGUAAGUAACUGUGCACGUCUUGACGGUACCUAAUCAGAAAGCCACGGCUAACUACGUG
rnacentral:rRNA from 1 species